GGGGCUAUGGCGCAGUUGGUAGCGCGCCUCCAUGGCAUGGAGGAGGUGGGGUUCGAAUCCCCAUAGCUCCA
rnacentral:tRNA from 1 species